ACGGGAGGCAGCAGUGGGGAAUAUUAGGCAAUGGGGGCAACCCUGACCUAGCAACGCCGCGUGAAGGAAGAAGGCCUUCGGGUUGUAAACUUCUUUUAUAGGGGACGAAACGAAUGACGGUACCCUAUGAGUAAGCCACGGCUAACUACGUGCCAGCAGCCGCGGUAAUACGUAGGUGGCAAGCGUUGUCCGGAUUUACUGGGUGUAAAGGGCGCGUAGGCGGGAUGGCAAGUCAGAUGUGAAAUCCAUGGGCUCAACCCAUGAACUGCAUUUGAAACUGUUAUUCUUGAGUAUCGGAGAGGCAAGCGGAAUUCCUAGUGUAGCGGUGAAAUGCGUGGAUAUUAGGAGGAACACCAGUGGCGAAGGCGGCUUGCUGGACGAAAACUGACGCUGAGGCGCGAAAGCGUGGGGAGCAAACGGGAUUAGAUACCCUGGUA
rnacentral:rRNA from 1 species